ACGCAUCUCUGGCGGCGAGGGUGCGCCCUGCUCCGGACCGAAAGGCCGUGCAGCGGGUGUUCCCGGACCGUCGAACCUUUGCAAACCCACUGUGCACUUUUGUCGGCAAAAGGGCCCUAGUGGCCCCGAGCCGGAUCACAAACACUUUGUCAAACGAAUGCAAGCGGACAUUGAGCCGCCUAAAACUUAA
rnacentral:misc_RNA from 1 species